rnacentral:miRNA from 3 species
AGAUGCUCAUUUGAGCAAGCAA